AUUGAACGCUGGCGGCAGGCCUAACACAUGCAAGUCGAGCGGAUGAAGAGAGCUUGCUCUCUGAUUUAGCGGCGGACGGGUGAGUAAUGCCUAGGAAUCUGCCUGGUAGUGGGGGAUAACGUCCGGAAACGGGCGCUAAUACCGCAUACGUCCUACGGGAGAAAGCAGGGGACCUUCGGGCCUUGCGCUAUCAGAUGAGCCUAGGUCGGAUUAGCUGGUUGGUGAGGUAAUGGCUCACCAAGGCUACGAUCCGUAACUGGUCUGAGAGGAUGAUCAGUCACACUGGAACUGAGACACGGUCCAGACUCCUACGGGAGGCAGCAGUGGGGAAUAUUGGACAAUGGGUGAAAGCCUGAUCCAGCCAUGCCGCGUGUGUGAAGAAGGUCUUCGGAUUGUAAAGCACUUUAAGUUGGGAGGAAGGGCAGUAAGUUAAUACCUUGCUGUUUUGACGUUACUGACAGAAUAAGCACCGGCUAACUUCGUGCCAGCAGCCGCGGUAACAC
rnacentral:rRNA from 1 species